UGGAAAAACUAGUGAACUCUGCUUUCCAUUGAGGAGAACUGACUUUGGCAUCCAUGUGCAGGUCCUGAUCCAACUAAAAGUGUAUUUCCUGAAUCAGGGAUAAAUUAUGUGAUGGAGAACUUUCUUCCAAUAAAGAUCUCACAUAUUUUCCUCUGAAACAAGGUGGUCAAAACAACCAGAGAGUUACUUUUGAAACAGCUGUAUUUCUUGAGUGGGAUAAUGGUGUAAUGGGAAAGGCUAUGUGCCUUUUGCAUUUAUACAGCAAUGAGGUACACUUUCUCAUGCGGGGUAACUAAAACAUGAGGAUUUCUUUCACCUUUCUCAUCAAAUUGUGGAAAUUUUGAAUGAAAAGGUAAGUAGAAUCCUACUUUCUUGUAAUCUUGAAAUUAAAAAAUGGGGAAAGACUUUUUGCAGCAUUGUCUGAAUAACAUGACUCUUGAGGCACUAUGUUGACUAGCUCAUCAAAGAGAUUUUCUUCUGUGUCCUUCCUUUGAAAUUACUCAUUCACCGUCGAAUUUUAAUGCAGAAUGCAACUGAAGUUCAAUGUGCAAUCAAAGGAAAAACUGAGUUGUCGCUGACUUUGUGUAUGGCAAAAUUUGAGAAUCUGUGACUUGAGAAGAAAAUAUUUGUCAGGCACAGAACUGUACUGUCCCAGUUUUCUCAUACCAGUCCCAACCUAGUAUUUUCAACAGCCCCCCCACUCUUUCUGGUGCACCCUCUAUUACCAAAUUAGGUUAGGACCUAUUUGUUUCUACCCUUCCCUUUUCUCUUUCUCACCAUCCUCUGUUCUCUUGCAAAGCAUCCCUGUGCUUACUGACUACAUUUAUCACAUGGCUGUGGAGCAUAAGAGUUUGAUAUCCAUUCCUGCAAGUGUGGUUGUAUCAAGGAGAGAGGUCGAAUCAGCCACUGUACCAAACAUGAGAAAAACCCACCCCUGAUAUCAGUGAAUGUAUAAGAAACAGGAGCUGGAAGGCAGUUUUAAAUAUCCCUCCCCUAUCUUUCAGGUAAGAUAUGUGACUUGGAUUCCAGGGAGCCUAUGAGCUGGAGAUGAACUUAAAGCAACAACUUAGUCAUUGUUCCCCAUCUGGACUAUUUUUAAAAUAAUCUUCCUUUAAAAUUUUCAGCUAAGAGUGCUUUCAUAUCGGUUAUUUCACACAUUUCCAAAGCAGAUGUUAUAGCGUGUUAAAGUGUGAACUUGAGAAAUGAAGCAGAAAAUAUGAAGUUGUUUGAGUGUCUGAAAUAGUAUUGGUUCAAGAACAAAAGUAAUUUCUGACCACAACUAUUAACGAUUUUUCAAGGCAGUGAUAUUCCCUCUGUGACAAGAAAUUCAGUAACCUCCUAGAAACAGCUCUCAAGACUUUCUACAAAAUAACAGCAGAAACCUGAGGUUUCUGGCAAGAUUUGUCAUCAAAAGCAUCUCUAGCACUCUCUUGGUAGCCACUGGAAUAGAACUGCUGCUGGUAUUUGUGAACUUGUGCUCCUUGAAAUUUAUGCUGCUAACGACACAACAGUAUGCUGUGAUCGUGAUGAUACAUAAGUAGGAGUAAGUUGCCUUUAUGGAUUUGAGUGAAGUAGCUGAUCAGGCCAGCAUGUGUUUGGUUUUGAGUGAUUUAGAAUGCAGAGCUGUCUCAGAGAUCUCUUUUCAAUGCAAGAUCCUGAAGGUAUAAAAAGAAAAAUACUGCUGAAAAUAGCUUCAAAUCAGUAUCUGCUUCCUGUAAACUGAAUAUAGCAGAUUUUUUUUUCCUGAAAAGGACUUAAGAAUAAGUCCACAAAGUGUCAGAUUUUUAAGUAGUGAACAAGAAAGGAAGGCCUUAAGAGCAAAGAAAGACAGUGACCGAUGUAACACAGGUCCAAGCAGAGGAAGGAAGAAUAUGGUCCUGUACAUGGCAGUCAUAAGAGUACUCCUGCAGAAAGGAAUGCUGGCUUAUUUGGAUGACAGAUGAAGCAACAUCAUCAUUCAAGAAGAUCCUGCACAACAUGGAACUAAACUUUCAGAAAAAUAACUCUGCCUUUUGAAUUGCUACAAAACUGAAAUGGGAUCAUAUUUCUGCAGCAACUUUAUGAAGCUAAAGUUUCUUUCCACUGCUGUUACUGAAUAAAAACUUGUGUGCUGACCAGGUGUCAUAGAGUUACUUUACCUUUAAGAAAAGCUGAAGUUUCUGGGAACUGCCUGGAGUCUUUUCUCCUGACCA